AUGCUUGCUUUAGCAGCAUAUAUACUAAAAUUGGAAUAAUAUGGAGAUUAGCAUGGCCCCUGUGCAAGGAUGAUAUGCAAAUUUAUGAAGUGUUCCAUAUUUUU
rnacentral:snRNA from 1 species